GGAUGUAGUUCAGUGGGACAGUGCUUGCCUAGCAUGCUGGAGGCCCUGGGUUCCAUCCUCAGCACCA
rnacentral:tRNA from 1 species